AACAUCGCGCACCUGCGGGAACCUGCGGAAGGAUCAUUACCGAGUCUUCGUACUCAAAACAACCCUUCUGUGGACCUGAAUAAAACCGUUGCCUCGGCAGGCGGCCCUACCUACGGGCCAGAUAGUUCGGCUGCCUCCAGGGAGGAAACCCUCCCUGAGGUGCUGGCGCCAGCCGCUGGCCCCAAACCAAAACUCUAGUAACUUUUACCUUCUGAGUUUUAAUGCAAGAAAUAAGACAAA
rnacentral:misc_RNA from 1 species